rnacentral:lncRNA from 1 species
ACUCGGGAACGGGGCGUCGCCGCUACAGCCGCUGCCUUGGGAGCCGGUGAGCGGUCCGCGCGGCCCCGGGCACCACGGGGGCGGGAGCCUGAGGAGAAGGGAGGGAGGGGCCGGCCGGGAGCGGGGUUGAGGCGGGUGGGCGGCCCGGGGGCCGCGCGGGGAGCGGCUGGCGCGUGCGGGGCGGCCCUGUCGCCCCAAUAAAGUCUGCUUUGACGAGA